rnacentral:rRNA from 1 species
UACGAAGGGUGCAAACGUUGCUCGGAAUCAUUGGGCGUAAAGCGCACGUAGGCGGCCUGAUAAGUCGGAUGUGAAAUCCCUCGGCUCAACUGAGGACGUGCAUUCGAAACUGCCAGGCUCGAGUAUGGAAGAGGGUCGCGGAAUUCCCGGUGUAGAGGUGAAAUUCGUAGAUAUCGGGAGGAACACCAGUGGCGAAGGCGGCGACCUGGGCCAAUACUGACGCUGAGGAGCGAAAGCGUGGGGAGCGAACAGG